AACGCACCUUGCGCUCCUUGGUAUUCCGAGGAGCAUGCCUGUUUGAGUGUCAUUAAAUUCUCAACCCCUCCAGUUUUCUGUGAUGGGGCUUGGAUAUGGAGAUUUGCUGGCCUUUUAAAGGUCAGCUACUCUGAAAUGCAUUAGCGGAACCGUUUGCGAUCCGUCACAGGUGUGAUAAUUAUCUACGCCGUGUGGUCGCUCUCUGUCUGUUCAGCUGCCAAUCGUCCAGUCUUCAUGGACAAUUAUAUUGAAUAUUUGACCUCAAAUCAGGUAGGACUACCCGCUGAACUUAA
rnacentral:misc_RNA from 2 species